rnacentral:rRNA from 1 species
CUACGGGGCGCUGCAGCUGAGGAAAUUUUACAAUGCUCGAACGAGUGAUAAAAUAAACCAGAGUGUUUUUCUAUGAAAAACUUUUAUAUGAUGCAAAAAGUCAUAUGAAUAAGGACUGGGCAAGACCGGUGCCAGCCGCCGCGGUAAUACCGGCGGUCCAAGUCGUAUCCACAUUUAUUGGGUCUAAAACAUUCGUAGCUUGUUUUGUAAGUUUCUUGUGAAAUCUCAUGUCUCAAGCAUGAGGCGUGCAAGAAAUACUGCAUUACUAGAGACCGGAAGACGUAAGGAGUAUGAUUAAGGUAGCGGUAAAAUGUGUUAAUCUUGAUCAGACUAACAAUGGCGAAGGCACCUUACGAGUACGGAUCUGACAGUGAGGGAUGAAGGCCAGGGUCGCGAAAGGGAUUAGAUACCCGAGUAGUC